GUAAUACAGCGGCAACAGUGGCCCUGCUCUGGGGUCAAGGUGACAAAUGAGACUGAGUGGGGAGCAGGGCCUUUCUCUUCUUCAAGGAACUCACUCCAGUUCAUGCAGGAAACAAAGGGUUGAUCUGGCAGCUUGAAGAUUUUCCAGGAGGCAGCAACCUUGGUAUUGAAGCCUGGUGGAAAACCAGUCUAAAGGACUCCUUAUAACAGGACAGCUAACAUCAUUCAAACCUGCUUUCUGAUUUGGAGGAAAUCCUUUACUGUGUGAAUCUCCAUGGGAUGCUGAGUCCUGCCUUCCACUAAAGAAGAUGAAGAGGAUCAGGUAUCUCUCUUGCCAGGGAGAGCUUCUGCGAUCCUGAACCUCCAAUUUCCUCUGGGAUCUAGUGUUAAUUUUUGCAGCCUUCUUGUUAUCCCGCAGUGUCUUUUGUUUUGCUUUAAGGCAGCCACCCAGGAGCAUUUAUCAAGCACUGCACAGUUUAACUGCCUAUAAAGAUGGGGCCUAGGCUAUUUACUUACCGGAUUGGUAAAAAUUGGUAAUUGGGAUAACAGUUUUCCCUUUCCAAUAGCGGGUACAGCUGGCACAUUUCUUGCCAGGUUGGAAAAUAUCAGUGAGCUGUUUAAUAUGCUUAUACUAUAUCUCUUUUAAGAGAAAUUUGAAGCUAGUGAAUGAAAAAUGGAAGCCUGCUUAGUGCUGGUAGAGCAGUUGCCACCUAGGUAGUUAACAUUUGAUAAUUAAGAGUUUGAAUUUGGCUUUAUCAAGAGUGUUUGCCUGAGUAGACUAAAGUUUAUUUUUGACUGGUUUGUUUUUUCAUCAUCACUAUGGAGCAGAAUAAAUGGCCUCAUAUUUUCAGUAGGCUGUGCACUGUUUUCUCAGGACUUUCCUUGGGAAGGAAAGCACUUUCUCUGCCUCUAUUUCUCUACUUUACCGUCAGAGACUAG
rnacentral:lncRNA from 1 species